AUUGAACGCUGGCGGCAUGCUUUACACAUGCAAGUCGAACGGUAACAGGCCUUCGGGUACUGACGAGUGGCGAACGGGUGAGUAAUGCAUCGGAACGUACCCAGAGGUGGGGGAUAACGCAGCGAAAGCUGUGCUAAUACCGCAUGUGAUCUGAGGAUGAAAGCGGGGGACCGAGCAGCAAUGUUUGGCCUCGCGCCUUUGGAGCGGCCGAUGUCGGAUUAGCUAGUUGGUGGGGUAAAGGCCUACCAAGGCGACGAUCCGUAGCUGGUCUGAGAGGACGACCAGCCACACUGGGACUGAGACACGGCCCAGACUCCUACGGGAGGCAGCAGUGGGGAAUUUUGGACAAUGGGCGCAAGCCUGAUCCAGCAAUGCCGCGUGCGGGAAGAAGGCCUUCGGGUUGUAAACCGCUUUUGGCAGGAACGAAACGGUGUCCGCUAAUACCGGGCGCUAAUGACGGUACCUGCAGAAUAAGCACCGGCUAACUACGUG
rnacentral:rRNA from 1 species